rnacentral:rRNA from 1 species
AUUGAACGCUGGCGGCAGGCUUAACACAUGCAAGUCGAGCGGGGGAAGGUAGCUUGCUACCGGACCUAGCGGCGGACGGGUGAGUAAUGCUUAGGAAUCUGCCUAUUAGUGGGGGACAACAUCUCGAAAGGGAUGCUAAUACCGCAUACGUCCUACGGGAGAAAGCAGGGGAUCUUCGGACCUUGCGCUAAUAGAUGAGCCUAAGUCGGAUUAGCUAGUUGGUGGGGUAAAGGCCUACCAAGGCGACGAUCUGUAGCGGGUCUGAGAGGAUGAUCCGCCACACUGGGACUGAGACACGGCCCAGACUCCUACGGGAGGCAGCAGUGGGGAAUAUUGGACAAUGGGGGGAACCCUGAUCCAGCCAUGCCGCGUGUGUGAAGAAGGCCUUAUGGUUGUAAAGCACUUUAAGCGAGGAGGAGGCUACUUUAGUUAAUACCUAGAGAUAGUGGACGUUACUCGCAGAAUAAGCACCGGCUAACUCUGUGCCAGCAGCCGCGGUAAUACAGAGGGUGCGAGCGUUAAUCGGAUUUACUGGGCGUAAAGCGUGCGUAGGCGGCUUAUUAAGUCGGAUGUGAAAUCCCCGAGCUUAACUUGGGAAUUGCAUUCGAUACUGGUGAGCUAGAGUAUGGGAGAGGAUGGUAGAAUUCCAGGUGUAGCGGUGAAAUGCGUAGAGAUCUGGAGGAAUACCGAUGGCGAAAGCAGCCAUCUGGCCUAAUACUGACGCUGAGUACGAAAGCAUGGGGAGCAAACAGGAUUAGAUACC